GCCCCUGUAGCUCAGUGGAUAGAGCACCGGCCUCCGGAGCCGGGAGCGAGGGUUCGAGUCCCUCCAGGGGUA
rnacentral:tRNA from 1 species